rnacentral:rRNA from 1 species
GACGAACGCUGGCGGCGUGCCUAAUACAUGCAAGUAGAACGCACAGUUUAUACCGUAGCUUGCUACACCAUAGACUGUGAGUUGCGAACGGGUGAGUAACGCGUAGGUAACCUGCCUGGUAGCGGGGGAUAACUAUUGGAAACGAUAGCUAAUACCGCAUAAUAUUAAUUAUUGCAUGAUAAUUAAUUGAAAGGUGCAAUUGCACCACUACCAGAUGGACCUGCGUUGUAUUAGCUAGUAGGUGAGGUAACGGCUCACCUAGGCGACGAUACAUAGCCGACCUGAGAGGGUGAUCGGCCACACUGGGACUGAGACACGGCCCAGACUCCUACGGGAGGCAGCAGUAGGGAAUCUUCGGCAAUGGACGAAAGUCUGACCGAGCAACGCCGCGUGAGUGAAGAAGGUUUUCGGAUCGUAAAGCUCUGUUGUAAGAGAAGAACGGGUGUGAGAGUGGAAAGUUCACACUGUGACGGUAUCUUACCAGAAAGGGACGGCUAACUACGUGCCAGCCGCCGCAGUAACAC